CAUGAAUUUUGUAAACUGCACUAGAGUCUCUCAUAGACGUGAUGUAACUCUACGUCUGUCGGACAUGGGAGUGAUUCGAUGUUACUUAGGAGAUGAACCACAAAGAGGAAACAGCAGCAUCACAUACAGAUGAAUAAAAACCUCAUACAACAUCCGUCGGUCACAGAGGACGGACACAGAAUGGCUCCGCUGGCACUGAUCCUUAUUUUUCUGCUUCACUUUGAAGCAGGUCUUAGUGGAAAACUUUAUUAUCUCUAUCACACACCUGGACAAGACGUCACUAUGACCUGUGCCAAUGUUUCUGACAGAAAAUGCUCCAACAUCAACUGGCUUUAUAACGCCCCUCAGACUGAGACUAUAUAUGACGUUCAGGAUGGAAACAUUAUAAAGAGCUCAGUUCGAGCUGCCAGGCUGAGUCUGGGCCCUGACUGCUCUGUGGUCAUCAGAAACAUCACUGCUGAGGAUGUAGGUCUGUACACCUGUCGGCGAGGGAGGAACCCUGGACAGGAUGCCUUCACAUAUCUAAGUGUUCUGACAAUCUCUCUGUUUCCUCCAGACACUGGUCCACAGAUGGAUGAAGUGACAUUACAGUGCUCUCUGCUGAGAUUCAGUAAAGAUGUUCGCUGUCGAGAGAACAGCUUCAGCUGGAUGGACGAGGCAGGAACGCUGCUGCUUGGUGAACAGUCCCAGUCUGAGACCCAAUGUGUGUCUCGUCUGACUGUGAAGCGUCAGAGCCUUGACAACAGGACGUACACCUGCUGGUUUGUUGAUGAGGAGAACAAUGUGAAGAUACAGACUGAAUACACACGUGUCCUCACCACAGGUAGGAUGAGAUGA
rnacentral:lncRNA from 1 species